rnacentral:rRNA from 1 species
AUUGAACGCUGGCGGCAGGCCUAUCACAUGCAAGUCGAGUGAGCGGCGGACGGGUGAGUAAUGUAUGGGGACUGCCCUAUAGAGGGGGAUAACUACUUGAAACGGUAGCUAAUACCGCAUACUAUCGGAUAACCCAUAUGGGAUUAGCUAGUAGGUGAGGUAAUGGCUCACCUAGGCGACGAUCCCUAGAUGGUCUGAGAGGAUGAUCAGCCACACGGUGACUUGGACACGGCCCAGAAUCCUACGGAGGCAGCAGUGGGGAAUAUUGCACAAUUGGAGCAAGCCUGAUGCAGCCAUGCCGCGUGUAUGAAGAAGGCCCUAGGGUUGUAAAGUACUUUCAGUCGGGAGGCGUUACCGACAGAAGAAGCACCGGCUAACUCCGUGCCAGCAGCCGCGGUAAUUC